rnacentral:rRNA from 1 species
GGACUACCAGGGUUUCUAAUCCUGUUUGCUCCCCACGCUCUCGCGCCUCAGUGUCAGUAUCAGUCCAGGUAGCCGCCUUCGCCACUGGUGUUCCUUCCGAUAUCUACGCAUUUCACCGCUACACCGGAAAUUCCACUACCCUCUACCGUACUCCAGUCUUGCAGUCCUAGAUGACCUUCCUAGGUUAAGCCCAGGGAUUUCACAUCUAGCUUACUAAACCACCUACGCGCCCUUUACGCCCAGUAAUUCCGAUUAACGCUCGCACCCUCUGUAUUACCGCGGCGGCUGGCAC